rnacentral:rRNA from 1 species
UCGGGAAUUUUGGGCAAUGGGCGAAAGCCUGACCCAGCAACGCCGCGUGUGUGAAGAAGGUCUUCGGAUUGUAAAGCACUUUAAGUUGGGAGGAAGGGCAGUAAGUUAAUACCUUGCUGUUUUGACGUUACCGACAGAAUAAGCACCGGCUAACUCUGUGCCAGCAGCCGCGGUAAUACAGAGGGUGCAAGCGUUAAUCGGAAUUACUAGGCGUAAAGCGCGCGUAGGUGGUUAGUUAAGUUGGAUGUGAAAUCCCCGGGCUCAACCUGGGAACUGCAUUCAAAACUGACUGACUAGAGUAUGGUAGAGGGUGGUGGAAUUUCCUGUGUAGCGGUGAAAUGCGUAGAUAUAGGAAGGAACACCAGUGGCGAAGGCGACCACCUGGACUGAUACUGACACUGAGGUGCGAAAGCGUGGGGAGCAAACAGGAUUAGAUACCCCAGUAGUCCCUGAGCGGGCUGGCAAGGCGCAU